rnacentral:rRNA from 1 species
UACAGGGGGUGCAAACGUUGCUCGGAAUCAUUGGGCGUAAAGCGCGCGUAGGCGGUUCGUUAUGUCGGAUGUGAAAGCCCUUGGCUUAACCGAGGAAGUGCAUCCGAAACUGGCGAGCUAGAGUACUAAAGAGGAUCGCGGAAUUCCCGGUGUAGAGGUGAAAUUCGUAGAUAUCGGGAGGAACACCGGUGGCGAAGGCGGCGAUCUGGGUAGAUACUGACGCUGAGGUGCGAAAGCGUGGGGAGCAAACAGG